AUUGAACGCUGGCGGCAUGCCUUACACAUGCAAGUCGAACGGCAGCACGGGUGCUUGCACCUGGUGGCGAGUGGCGAACGGGUGAGUAAUACAUCGGAACGUACCUUAUCGUGGGGGAUAACGCAGCGAAAGCUGUGCUAAUACCGCAUACGCCCUGAGGGGGAAAGCGGGGGAUCGAAAGACCUCGCGCGAUUAGAGAGGCCGAUGCCUGAUUAGCUUGUUGGUGGGGUAAAAGCCCACCAAGGCGACGAUCAGUAGCUGGUCUGAGAGGACGAUCAGCCACACUGGGACUGAGACACGGCCCAGACUCCUACGGGAGGCAGCAGUGGGGAAUUUUGGACAAUGGGGGCAACCCUGAUCCAGCAAUGCCGCGUGAGUGAAGAAGGCCCUCGGGUUGUAAAGCUCUUUUGUCAGGGAAGAAACACCGGCUCUAACACAGUCCAGGAAUGACGGUACCUGAAGAAUAAGCACCGGCUAACUACGUGCCAGCAGCCGCGGUAA
rnacentral:rRNA from 1 species